ACUAGAUAUUAGUACAAAAAUUAGGAAAGAAACUAAGCUGGGCUGUAAAAAGCCAUAAGCCACCAUAAUCACCCCCUAACAACAUACAAAAUUAACUCGUGAAAGCUGGGAGACAAACUAAGAUUAGAUACCUUACUAUGCCCAACAGUAACUCAACAAUUAAAUAACACAUUGUUCGCCAAAUAACUACGAGUAAAAACUUAAAAUUUAAAAGACUUGACGGUACCUCACACCAACCUAGAGGAGCCUGUCCAAUAACCGAUACUCCACGAUUAACCCAACCCCAGCUAGCCUAACAGUCUAUAUACCGCCGUCGCCAGCUUACCUUGUGAAAGAAACAAAGUGAGCACAACAGCCAACACUAAUACGACAGGUCGAGGUGUAACUUAUGCCGGGGUAAAAGAUGGGCUACAUUUUCUAAAUCAGAAAAUACGAAUAAAUUAUGAAAACAAAAACUGAAGGCGGAUUUAGCAGUAAGUUGGAGAUAAACACACCCAACUGAAACCAAGCAAUGAGGUGCGUACACACCGCCCGUCAUCCCUGUCAACCCAACAACACUAAAAAAAUAUACCCACACACAACAUAAAACAGGGCAAGUCGUAA
rnacentral:rRNA from 1 species